CCCUUAGAUGUUCUGGGCCGCACGCGUGCUACACUGAGUGGAUCAGCGGGUCAGGUUGCGCGAAAGCGUUUCCUAAUCUUUAAAUCCGCUCGUGAUGGGGAUUGACGGUUGCAAUUUUCUGUCAUGAACGAGGAAUACCUUGUAAGCGCGGGUCAUCAUCCCGCGCUGAAUACGUCCCUGCCCUUUGUACACACCGCCCGUCGCACCUACCGAUUGGAUGGUCCGGUGAAGCCUCGGGAUUGUGGCGGUUGCCUUUAUUGGUGGCCGCCGCGAGAACUUGUCUAAACCUUAUCAUCUAGAGGAAGGUGAAGUCGUAACA
rnacentral:rRNA from 1 species